GAUGAACGCUGGCUGCAGGCUUAACACAUGCAAGUCGAGCGGAAACGCCGGGGUUGUGUGCGUUCCCGGGCUGCGACCGGCGCGCGGAACACGUACGUGUCCUGCACCUGCCUUUGGGUUAACUUUAAGCAGCUGAGAGUCAUCCCGGUACGUCACUGCUGCUGCAUCGUGGGGGUUGGGACGAUUCGGCGGUUGGGGAUUGACGCGCGGCGUAUCAGCUUGUUGGGGGGGUAGUGGAUUACCAAGGCUUUGACGGGUAGCCGGCCUGAGAGGGUGACCGGCCACAGUGGGACUGAGAUACGGCCCAGACUCCUAAGGGAGGCAGCAGUGGGGAAUAGUGCACAAUGGGCGGAAGGCUGAUGCAGAAACGCCGCGUGCGGGAUGACGGCCUUCGGGUUGUAAACCGCUUUCGCCUGUGACGAAGCGUGAGUGACGGUAAUGGGUAAAGAAGCACCGGCUAACUACGUG
rnacentral:rRNA from 1 species